rnacentral:rRNA from 1 species
AGAGUUUGAUCCUGGCUCAGGACGAACGCUGGCGGCGUGCCUAAUACAUGCAAGUCGAGCGGACAGAUGGGAGCUUGCUCCCUGAUGUUAGCGGCGGACGGGUGAGUAACACGUGGGUAACCUGCCUGUAAGACUGGGAUAACUCCGGGAAACCGGGGCUAAUACCGGAUGGUUGUUUGAACCGCAUGGUUCAAACAUAAAAGGUGGCUUCGGCUACCACUUACAGAUGGACCCGCGGCGCAUUAGCUAGUUGGUGAGGUAACGGCUCACCAAGGCAACGAUGCGUAGCCGACCUGAGAGGGUGAUCGGCCACACUGGGACUGAGACACGGCCCAGACUCCUACGGGAGGCAGCAGUAGGGAAUCUUCCGCAAUGGACGAAAGUCUGACGGAGCAACGCCGCGUGAGUGAUGAAGGUUUUCGGAUCGUAAAGCUCUGUUGUUAGGGAAGAACAAGUACCGUUCGAAUAGGGCGGUACCUUGACGGUACCUAACCAGAAAGCCACGGCUAACUACGUGCCAGCAGCCGCGGUAAUACGUAGGUGGCAAGCGUUGUCCGGAAUUAUUGGGCGUAAAGGGCUCGCAGGCGGUUUCUUAAGUCUGAUGUGAAAGCCCCCGGCUCAACCGGGGAGGGUCAUUGGAAACUGGGGAACUUGAGUGCAGAAGAGGAGAGUGGAAUUCCACGUGUAGCGGUGAAAUGCGUAGAGAUGUGGAGGAACACCAGUGGCGAAGGCGACUCUCUGGUCUGUAACUGACGCUGAGGAGCGAAAGCGUGGGGAGCGAACAGGAUUAGAUACCCUGGUAGUCCACGCCGUAAACGAUGAGUGCUAAGUGUUAGGGGGUUUCCGCCCCUUAGUGCUGCAGCUAACGCAUUAAGCACUCCGCCUGGGGAGUACGGUCGCAAGACUGAAACUCAAAGGAAUUGACGGGGCCCGCACAAGCGGUGGAGCAUGUGGUUUAAUUCGAAAGCAACGCGAAGAACCUUACCAGGUCUUGACAUCCUCUGACAAUCCUAGAGAUAGGACGUCCCCUUCGGGGGCAGAGUGACAGGUGGUGCAUGGUUGUCGUCAGCUCGUGUCGUGAGAUGUUGGGUUAAGUCCCGCAACGAGCGCAACCCUUGAUCUUAGUUGCCAGCAUUCAGUUGGGCACUCUAAGGUGACUGCCGGUGACAAACCGGAGGAAGGUGGGGAUGACGUCAAAUCAUCAUGCCCCUUAUGACCUGGGCUACACACGUGCUACAAUGGACAGAACAAAGGGCAGCGAAACCGCGAGGUUAAGCCAAUCCCACAAAUCUGUUCUCAGUUCGGAUCGCAGUCUGCAACUCGACUGCGUGAAGCUGGAAUCGCUAGUAAUCGCGGAUCAGCAUGCCGCGGUGAAUACGUUCCCGGGCCUUGUACACACCGCCCGUCACACCACGAGAGUUUGUA